rnacentral:rRNA from 1 species
AUGAAAUUUAAUUCCACAAAAGAGGCUUGGAACUUUUGGACAUGUUAUGGAGGUCAUAUUGGUUUUGAUGUAAGGAUAAAUUAUGAAAACAAGAGCAAACUCGAUGGAGUAAUCACUUCAGCAAGAUAUGUUUGUUCCAAUGAGGGCUACAGAAGAAAAGACAAAAGGGAUAAUAAUACAAAGCGUCCUCGUGCAGAAACAAGGACCGGCUGCAAUGUUCGAAUGGGAAUCACUAUAGACCGAGAAACAGGAAACUAUGAGGUGCAUGAGUUAGUUGUUGAACACAACCAUGUGUUGCAAUUACCUGGGACAAGCCACUUGAUGCCAUCACAGAGGAAAAUUUCGGCCUUGCAAGCAUUUGAAAUUGAAACAGCAGAUGAUUCAGGAAUUGUACCUAGAAAAGCCCAUGAGUUAGCAAGUCGACAAGUUGGUGGUCCACUGAACCUUGGCUACACAUGUCGUGAUCGCAAGAACCACUUGCGAACCAGACGUCAAAGAGACUUGAUGUAUGGUGAAGCUAGAAGUAUGCUCAAGUAUUUUAGAGAUAAAAAGAAUGAGAAUCCUGCAUUUGAAUAUGACAUGCAACUAGAUUGUGAUGAAAAUAUAGCAAAUAUCUUUUGGGCUGAUGCAAGGAUGAUCAUUGACUAUGCUCAUUUCGGUGAUGUUGUUACCUUCGAUACAACAUUUGGGACAAACAAAGAGUACAGACCCUUCGGUGUGUUUGUUGGCUUCAACCAUUUUAGAGAAAUGGUCAUUUUUGGUGCUGCACUUUUAUAUGAUGAGACAUUUGAAUCAUUCAAAUGGUUGUUCAACACGUUCCUAUCAGUGCAUAACAAAAAGCAACCUAGAACAAUAUUUACUGAUCAAGAUGUAGCAAUGGGUAAUGCAAUUCGGGCAGUAUUUAUGGAAGCAUGGCAUGGGUUGUGCACUUUUCACAUAAUGCAAAAUGCCAUCAGACACUUACCUCAUAAGAAAAAAGACAAGGAAGGACUAAAUGUACUUGCUGAUUUCAGUGCUUGCAUGUACAAGUAUGAGGAAGAGGAAGCCUUUGAAGAAGCUUUCAAUGCCAUAAGAAGCAAUGUGGAAACACAAACUUGGGUUGUGCAAGGAAAAAGAGAUAACGAGGUAAAUGAGGAAUACGAGUCUAGGAAAAAAUUACCUAGAGUCAGAAUGAGGACUCCUAUGGUAAUACAAGCUAGCAAAGUUUACACACCAUCCAUAUUUGAAGAUUUUCAGAAUGAAUAUGAAAGAUCCAUCUCAGCAUACAUCAAGCCAUCGAUAGAACACAAUGCAUAUACUGUUGCAAUUGCAAGUCUUGACCCAGAAUUCCCAUAUGAAGAAGAGUGCAAAGUACUAGUUAAUUAUGAAGAGCAAAAAGUUUUCUGCAAUUGUGGCCAAUUUGAAAGAGUUGGUAUAUUGUGUAGUCAUGCUUUGAAAGCCCUUGAUGUCAUGAAUAUCAAGUAUCUUCCAGGCCACUAUAUUUUGAAGCGAUGGACUCGAGAAGCGCGAAGCGGCACUAUUGAAAAUAGCCAUGGAAACAUUGUUUUGGAAGAUCCUAGAUCAGAAGAUAGACAACAGUUGAAGUUUUUCAUGCACGAGUUUCUUGGCAUAGCUUCACAAGCAGUAACAUCAGAAGAGUGUAUCAAACUAGUAGAUGAUGCUUUGAAGAUUCUUAGGAAGCAAGUUGAAGAGAAAACUCGCACUACUACAUGCAGAACUGAAGAUAUAUCUAAAGAACCAGAGGAUUGUUUAAAGGAUGCUUCCCUAAAGAAAAAGGAAAUUCCGAAGAAAAAUUCAAGAAGAAAGAAAACAUGGCUUGAC